rnacentral:rRNA from 1 species
AUGGAAGCAGAACUCACUGCACUAGAUACAGCUACGGUUGAAGCAGAUUGGCUUCGUCGGCUCUUGAAUGACUUGCCAAUUGUUGAGAAACCUGUACCGGGUGUCCUUAUGAACUGCGAUAAUCAAACUGUGAUCACAAAAGUGAGCAGCUCAAAGGAUAACAUGAAGUCAUCAAGACACGUUCAGAGAAGGUUAAAGUCUGUCAGGAAAAUGAAAAACUACGGAGUUAUUGCAUUGGAUUAUAUCCAAACGUCUAAAAAUCUGGCAGAUCCUUUUACUAAGGGUCUAUCACGUAAUGUGGUAGAUAAUGCAUCGAGGGAGAUGGGUAUGAAACCCACAAUAUGA